rnacentral:rRNA from 1 species
GACGAACGCUGGCGGCGUGCCUAAUACAUGCAAGUCGAACGCUUCUUUCCUCCCGAGUGCUUGCCCUCAAUUGGAAAGAGGAGUGGCGGACGGGUGAGUAACACGUGGGUAACCUACCCAUCAGAGGGGGAUAACACUUGGAAACAGGUGCUAAUACCGCAUAACAGUUUAUGCCGCAUGGCAUAAGAGUGAAAGGCGCUUUCGGGUGUCGCUGAUGGAUGGACCCGCGGUGCAUUAGCUAGUUGGUGAGGUAACGGCUCACCAAGGCCACGAUGCAUAGCCGACCUGAGAGGGUGAUCGGCCACACUGGGACUGAGACACGGCCCAGACUCCUACGGGAGGCAGCAGUAGGGAAUCCUCGGCAAUGGACGAAAGUCUGACCGAGCAACGCCGCGUGAGUGAAGAAGGUUUUCGGAUCGUAAAACGCUGUUGUUAGAGAAGAACAAGGACGUUAGUAACUGAACGUCCCCUGACGGUAUCUAACCAGAAAGCCACGGCUAACUACGU